rfam:Oryza rufipogon genomic scaffold, chr06
UUUAAGUGUAACCAUGAGUUUUUUACCGAAUUUUGAUUGUCUGUCUUAUUUAAAAUUUUUUUAUAAUUAGUAUUUUUACUGUUAUGAGAUGAUAAAGCAUGAAUAAUACUUUAUGCAUGACUUAUGCUUUUAUUUUUUUCAAAUAAGACAGACGAUCAAAGUUUGGCACGAAAAAUCAUGGCUGCACUUAAA